AAACCAGCACCUCAAGUGGUCAGGAGGAUUAUUGGGCCUAAAGCAUCCGUAGCCUGUUCUAUAAGUUUCCGGUUAAAUCCACUAGCUCAACUAGUGGGCUGCCGAAAAUACUGUAGAACUAGGGAGUGGGAGAGGUAGACGGUAUUCGGUAGGAAGGGGUAAAAUCCUUUGAUCUAUUGAGGACCACCUGUGGCGAAGGCGGUCUACCAGAACACGUUCGACGGUGAGGGAUGAAAGCUGGGGGAGCAAGCCGGAUUAGAUACCCGAGUAGUCC
rnacentral:rRNA from 1 species